CGGUCCUUCCCGGGGCACCUUGC
rnacentral:miRNA from 2 species